AAACCUCAGAAAAAAAAAAAGUAAUUAUUUUUAAACAUUUCUAUAAAAAAAGAAAAAGACAUAAAACAUUAAAAAAAAAAUCAAACGAGACACCUUCAGUAGUAGAGAACAAAAAAGAAAGAAAGAAAAAGAAAAAUUUCUAACAAGAUGAAUGGACAUCUAAAAAAAAAACUACUAAAAAUAAAAUACCGCAAGGGAAAAAAAAUCUGAACUUCCUUAUCCAACCUCAAAAAUUAAUAACUAAUAUUCCUUUUGCAUCAGGAAUUUACAAAAAAAAUAUGAAUAAACCACCCUAUAACCCAAAAGAAAAAAAUUCAUAAAAUCCGAAACUUUAUGAUCUAAUCAUAAACAGUUUAAUACAGAACGAAUCUAUAGAUGUUGCAAUAUCUUAUAAUGAUUUAUGAUAAGCAAUAAAAAAUCAAACGCAUAAAGAUAUAGCUGAUUUUCGACGAAAACCAUUUAAGUAGACCAACAAAAAAGAAAACUAAUAAUAAGCACAACUUUUUUUCCAAAAAAAGACUUACUGUGAAAAGAUAAUAAGUCAAACAGGAAACAGCCUUAACCUAAAAUAACAGUUACAAACAAAUAAAAAUAAGAAUAAACUUUCAAACAAAAGUAGGCCUAGAAGCAGCCAUCUAAUAAUAAAAGCAUAAACGCUCAUUAAAAAAAAACCUUAACAAAUUACUAAUAAAAAAAACUAAUAUUUAGAUAAAUAGUCGAACAUUCGCCAUCCGCGAACAGAUAAUGUAAAUACAAGUAACAAUUAAUAAAACAACCCCAAACAAACAAUAAAACGGAAAAACCGUUUUUAAUUCUACACAGAUAGGAAUCAAUUAAUAAAAACUCUUUUAAGGAACUCGGCAAACAGAAUUUCGACUGUUUACCAAAAACAUAGCCAACAGAAAAAAUUAAUGUCAGUGAAACCUGCUCCAUGAUUCUAUAAAUAAAAGCCCAAAAACUAUUAAAAAAAAUUAAAUAGCUGCGGUAACCGUGACCGUACUAAGGUAGCAUAAUAAAUCGUCUAUUAAUUGUAGAAUAGAAUGAAGGUCAAACGAAAAUUCAACUGUCUCAAAAAACACUUGUGAAAAUAAAAAGUGUGUGAAUAUACACACACAAACGGCAAGACGAUAAGACCCUACGAACUUUACUGAAAAUUUACAUUCUCUUCAUAAAUAAACACAAUAUAACCAAAUAUAAAUAAUACGUUUCGUUGGGGCAACGACCUUAAAAAAGUAACUAAGGUUUAAAAAAUCACAUUUAAUAAAAAAAUAAUAAAUUAAAAUUAAAUAAAAAAGAUAAAACCCAUUAAACACAUCCAAAAAAUUAAUGCAAUAAAAUAAAAGUUCCGUAGGGAUAACAGCGUAAUAAUAUUUCAAGAAAAACAACCUUAAAUAAAGAUUGCGACCUCGAUGUUGAAUUGUUGUAUCCCGAAACUAAACACAUUCAAAGGUUGGACUGUCCUUCCAUUAAAACAACCCAUGAUUUGAGUUCAGACCGAGGCAACUCAGGUCAGAUUCUAUCUACCGUUCCAAAAUCACAUUAAAGAAUAUUAGUACGAAAGGAAAAAAUUCUAUUAUCCUCUAAAAAAAGAUAAAACCUCUAAGAAAUCGAACCAAUAAUGCGAUU
rnacentral:rRNA from 1 species